UAAGGCCUGCAGGACUCUAUCCAACAUCACUUGAAUGCAACUCAAAUACUUUUAUUAAGCUAAGGCCUU
rnacentral:tRNA from 3 species